GAUGAACGCUAGCGGCAGGCUUAACACAUGCAAGUCGAGGGGUAACAGGAGUGCUUGCACUUGCUGACGACCGGCGCACGGGUGCGUAACGCGUAUAGAACCUACCCAUAACAGAGGGAUAGCCCAGAGAAAUUUGGAUUAAUACCUCAUAGUAUCAUUGAUUGGCAUCGAUUGAUGAUUAAAGAUUUAUCGGUUAUGGAUGGCUAUGCGUCAUAUUAGCUAGUUGGUAAGGUAAAGGCUUACCAAGGCUACGAUAUGUAGGGGUCCUGAGAGGGAGAUCCCCCACACUGGUACUGAGACACGGACCAGACUCCUACGGGAGGCAGCAGUGAGGAAUAUUGGACAAUGGAGGAGACUCUGAUCCAGCCAUGCCGCGUGUAGGAAGACUGCCCUAUGGGUUGUAAACUACUUUUGUAUAGGAAGAAACAUUCUCUCGUGAGGGAAUUUGACGGUACUAUAAGAAUAAGCAUCGGCUAACUCCG
rnacentral:rRNA from 1 species